rnacentral:rRNA from 1 species
CCUACGGGAGACAGCAGUGGGGGAUAUUGCACAAUGGGGGGAACCCUGAUGCAGCGACGCCGCGUGGGUGAAGAAGCGCCUCGGCGCGUAAAGCCCUGUCAGCAGGGAAGAAAAUGACGGUACCUGAAGAAGAAGCCCCGGCUAACUCCGUGCCAGCAGCCGCGGUAAUACGUAGGGGGCAAGCGUUAUCCGGAUUUACUGGGUGUAAAGGGGGCGCAGACGGCGAUGCAAGCCAGGAGUGAAAGCCCGGGGCUCAACCCCGGGACUGCUCUUGGAACUGCGGGGCUGGAGUGCAGGAGGGGCAGGCGGAAUUCCUGGUGUAGCGGUGAAAUGCGGAGAUAUCAGGAGGAACACCGGUGGCGAAGGCGGCCUGCUGGACUGCAACUGACGUUGAGGCCCGAAAGCGUGGGGAGCAAACAGGAUUAGAUACCCUGGUAGGC